rnacentral:rRNA from 1 species
GUUGAACGCUGGCGGAAUGCUUUACACAUGCAAGUCGAACGGUAGAGGGGGCAACCCCUCGAGAGUGGCGAACGGGUGAGUAAUAUAUCGGAACGUGCCCAGUCGUGGGGGAUAACGUAGCGAAAGUUACGCUAAUACCGCAUACGAUCUAAGGAUGAAAGCGGGGGAUCGCAAGACCUCGCGCGAUUGGAGCGGCCGAUAUCAGAUUAGGUAGUUGGUGGGGUAAAGGCUCACCAAGCCAACGAUCUGUAGCUGGUCUGAGAGGACGACCAGCCACACUGGAACAGAGACACGGUCCAGACUCCUACGGGGGGCAGCAGUGGUGAAUUUUGGACAAGGGACGCAAGUCUGAUCCAGCCAUUCCGCGUGCAGGAUGAAGGCCCUCGGGUUGUAAACUGCUUUUGUACGGAACGAAAAGGUCUCUCUUAAUACGGGGGACUCAUGACGGUACCGUAAGAAUAAGCACCGGCUAACUACGUGCCAGCCGCCGCCGUAACAC